rnacentral:rRNA from 1 species
UACGUAGGGUCCGAGCGUUGUCCGGAAUUACUGGGCGUAAAGAGCUCGUAGGUGGUUUGUCGCGUUGUUCGUGAAAACUCACAGCUCAACUGUGGGCGUGCGGGCGAUACGGGCAGACUUGAGUACUGCAGGGGAGACUGGAAGUUCCUGGUGUAGCGGUGGAAUGCGCAGAGUAUCAGGAGGAACACCGGUGGCGAAGGCGGGUCUCUGGGCAGUAACUGACGCUGAGGAGCGAAAGCGUGGGGAGCGAACAGG